rnacentral:rRNA from 1 species
UACGGAGGGUGCAAGCGUUAAUCGGAGUUACUGGGCGUAAAGCGUGCGCAGGCGGUUUGUUAAGUCCGUUGUGAAAGCCCCGAGCUCAACUUGGGAAUUGCAGUGGAUACUGGCAGGCUGGAGUACGGUAGAGGAAGGUGGAAUUCCCGGUGUAGCAGUGAAAUGCGUAGAUAUCGGGAGGAACACCAGUGGCGAAGGCGGCCGUCUGGACCAGUACUGACGCUCAUGCACGAAAGCGUGGGGAGCAAACAGG